GAAUCCUACGGGACGCAGCAGUGAGGAAUAUUGGUCAAUGGGCGCGAGCCUGAACCAGCCAAGUCGGGUGAGGGAAGACGGUCCUAUGGAUUGUAAACCUCUUUUGUCGGGGAGCAAAAGACGCCACGUGUGGCGUUCCGAGAGUACCCGAAGAAAAAGCAUCGGCUAACUCCGUGUCAGCAGCCGCGGUAAUACGGAGGAUGCGAGCGUUAUCCGGAUUUAUUGGGUUUAAAGGGUGCGCAGGCGGAAGAUCAAUGCAGCGGUAAAAUUGAGAGGCUCAACCUCUUCGAGCCGUUGAAACUGGU
rnacentral:rRNA from 1 species